rnacentral:rRNA from 1 species
GAGUUUGAUCUUGGCUCAGAUUGAACGCUGGCGGCAUGCCUUACACAUGCAAGUCGAACGGUAACAGGUCUUCGGAUGCUGACGAGUGGCGAACGGGUGAGUAAUACAUCGGAACGUGCCCGAUCGUGGGGGAUAACGGAGCGAAAGCUUUGCUAAUACCGCAUACGAUCUACGGAUGAAAGCAGGGGACCGCAAGGCCUUGCGCGGACGGAGCGGCCGAUGGCAGAUUAGGUAGUUGGUGGGAUAAAAGCUUACCAAGCCGACGAUCUGUAGCUGGUCUGAGAGGACGACCAGCCACACUGGGACUGAGACACGGCCCAGACUCCUACGGGAGGCAGCAGUGGGGAAUUUUGGACAAUGGGCGAAAGCCUGAUCCAGCCAUGCCGCGUGCAGGAUGAAGG